AGUGAAUAGAUACCCUGGUAGUCCUAGCCGUAAACGGUGCAUGUUUGCUGUAAAAGGAAUCGACCCCUUUUGUGGCGGAGCUAAACGCGUUAAACAUGCCGCCUGGGAAGUACGGUCGCAAGAUUAAAACUCAAAGAAAUUGACGGGGGCCUGCACAAGCGGUGGAGUAUGUGGCUCAAUUCGAUGCAACGCGAAGAACCUUACCUGGCCUUGACAUGCAUAUAGUAGAAGGGUGAAAGCCUGACGAGGUAGCAAUACCAGUAUGCACAGGUGCUGCAUGGCUGUCGUCAGCUCGUGUCGUGAGAUGUUGGGUUAAGUCCCGCAACGAGCGCAACCCCGUGUGUCCUGUUGCCACCCCGGGCGAGAGUCGGGAGCACUCUGGACAGACUGCCUCGCUUAAACGAGGAGGAAGGUGGGGAUGACGUCAAGUCAGUAUGGCCCUUACGGGCCAGGGCUGCACACGUACUACAAUGGCUGGCAC
rnacentral:rRNA from 1 species